rnacentral:rRNA from 1 species
GACGAACGCUGGCGGCGUGCUUAACACAUGCAAGUCGAACGGAAAGGCCCUGCUUUUGUGGGGUGCUCGAGUGGCGAACGGGUGAGUAACACGUGAGUAACCUGCCCUUGACUUUGGGAUAACUUCAGGAAACUGGGGCUAAUACCGGAUAGGAGCUCCUGCUGCAUGGUGGGGGUUGGAAAGUUUCGGCGGGUGGGGAUGGACUCGCGGCUUAUCGGCUUGUUGGUGGGGUAGUGGCUUACCAAGGCUUUGACGGGUAGCCGGCACGAGAGGGUGACCGGCCACAUUGGGACUGAGAUACGGACCAGACUCCUACGGGAGGCAGCAGUGGGGAAUAUUGCACAAUGGGCGGAAGCCGGAUGCAGCAACGCCGCGUUCGGGAUGACGGCCUUCGGGUUGUAAACCGCUUUCGCCUGUGACGAAGCGUGAGUGACGGUAAUGAGUAAAGAAGCACCGGCUAACUACGUG